ACGCUAGCUACAGGCUUAACACAUGCAAGUCGAGGGGCAGCAUGGUCUUAGCUUGCUAAGGCCGAUGGCGACCGGCGCACGGGUGAGUAACACGUAUCCAACCUGCCGUCUACUCUUGGACAGCCUUCUGAAAGGAAGAUUAAUACAAGAUGGCAUCAUGAGUCCGCAUGUUCACAUGAUUAAAGGUAUUCCGGUAGACGAUGGGGAUGCGUUCCAUUAGAUAGUAGGCGGGGUAACGGCCCACCUAGUCUUCGAUGGAUAGGGGUUCUGAGAGGAAGGUCCCCCACAUUGGAACUGAGACACGGUCCAAACUCCUACGGGAGGCAGCAGUGAGGAAUAUUGGUCAAUGGGCGAGAGCCUGAACCAGCCAAGUAGCGUGAAGGAUGACUGCCCUAUGGGUUGUAAACUUCUUUUAUAAAGGAAUAAAGUCGGGUAUGGAUACCCGUUUGCAUGUACUUUAUGAAUAAGGAUCGGCUAACUCCGUGCCAGCAGCCGCGGUAAUACGGAGGAUCCGAGCGUUAUCCGGAUUUAUUGGGUUUAAAGGGAGCGUAGAUGGAUAUUUAAGUCAGUUGUGAAAGUUUGCGGCUCAACCGUAAAAUUGCAGUUGAUACUGGAUAUCUUGAGUGCAGUUGAGGCAGGCGGAAUUCGUGGUGUAGCGGUGAAAUGCUUAGAUAUCACGAAGAACUCCGAUUG
rnacentral:rRNA from 1 species